rnacentral:rRNA from 1 species
AGCUUUAGGUUAUAGAUCUAAAGUUAGACCUGCCCAAUGUGAGUUUAUGAAUGGCCGCGGUACUUUGACCGUGCUAAGGUAGCGCAAUCAAUUGGCUUUUAAUUGGAGCCAGGUAUGAAUGGAGUUACGGGGUUUAGCUGUCUCUUAAUUAAUAAAUUGAAGUUACUAUCUAGGUGAAAAAGCCUAGGUUAUUAAGGGGGACGAGAAGACCCUUAGAGUUUUUCUUACUUUGGAUAUUUUAUUCAUUAUGGUUUGGUUGGGGCAACACAGGAUCAUUAAACAUCUUUAUAAAUAAUUGACCGAUUUUUAUAAAUUUAAAUAAACUACCUUAGGGAUAACAGCAUAAUUUUAUAAAUAAGUUUGUGACCUCGAUGUUGGACUAGGGAAUUAAUUGGCUAGCCGCUUUUUAAGUAAGUUCUGUUCGAACUAUUAUUCCU